UAACAGAAGAUAGCUUGCUAUUUUGCUGACGAGUGGCGGACGGGUGAGUAAUGCUUGGGAAUAUGCCAAAACGUGGGGGACAACAGUUGGAAACGACUGCUAAUACCGCAUAAUGUCUUCGGACCAAAGCAGGGGAUCUUCGGACCUUGCGCGUUUUGAUUAGCCCAAGUGGGAUUAGCUAGUUGGUAAGGUAAUGGCUUACCAAGGCGACGAUCCCUAGCUGGUCUUAGAGGAUGACCAGCCACACUGGAACUGAGACACGGUCCAGACUCCUACGGGAGGCAGCAGUGGGGAAUAUUGCACAAUGGAGGAAACUCUGAUGCAGCCAUGCCGCGUGUGUGAAGAAGGCUUUCGGGUUGUAAAGCACUUUCAGUGGGGAGGAAAGGGUGCUGGUUAAUAACCAGUAUCUGUGACGUUACCCACAGAAGAAGCACCGGCUAACUCCGUGCCAGCAGCCGCGGUAAUACGGAGGGUGCGAGCGUUAAUCGGAAUUACUGGGCGUAAAGCGCGCGUAGGUGGUUAAUUAAGUCAGAUGUGAAAGCCCAGGGCUCAACCUUGGAACUGCAUUUGAAACUGGUUAACUAGAGUUUUGUAGAGGGUGGUAGAAUUUCAGGUGUAGCGGUGAAAUGCGUAGAGAUCUGAAGGAAUACCAGUGGCGAAGGCGGCCACCUGGACAAAGACUGACACUGAGGCGCGAAGGCGUGGGGAGCAAACGGGAUUAGAUACCCCGGUAGUCCACGCAGUAAACGAUGUCUAUUAGAAGUUUGUGGCUAUAUGCCGUGGGUUUCAAAGCUAACGCAUUAAAUAGACCGCCUGGGGAGUACGGCCGCAAGGUUAAAACUCAAAUGAAUUGACGGGGGCCCGCACAAGCGGUGGAGCAUGUGGUUUAAUUCGAUGCAACGCGAAGAACCUUACCAUCUCUUGACAUCCAGAGAAUCACCUAGAGAUAGAUGAGUGCCUUCGGGAACUCUGAGAC
rnacentral:rRNA from 1 species